CCGUUGUACACACCGCCCGUCACACCAUGGGAGUGGGUUGUACCAGAAGUAGGUAGAAUAACCGCAAGGGGUUCGCUUACCACGGUAUGAUUCAUGACUGGGGUG
rnacentral:rRNA from 1 species